rnacentral:rRNA from 1 species
AAUGAACGCUGGCGGCAUGCCUAACACAUGCAAGUCGAACGAGAUCCUUCGGGGUCUAGUGGCGCACGGGUGCGUAACGCGUGGGAAUCUGCCCUUAGGUUCGGAAUAACAGUUAGAAAUGACUGCUAAUACCGGAUGAUGACGUUAAGUCCAAAGAUUUAUCGCCUGAGGAUGAGCCCGCGUAGGAUUAGCUAGUUGGUGUGGUAAAGGCGCACCAAGGCGACGAUCCUUAGCUGGUCUGAGAGGAUGAUCAGCCACACUGGGACUGAGACACGGCCCAGACUCCUACGGGAGGCAGCAGUGGGGAAUAUUGGACAAUGGGCGCAAGCCUGAUCCAGCAAUGCCGCGUGAGUGAUGAAGGCCUUAGGGUUGUAAAGCUCUUUUACCCGAGAUGAUAAUGACAGUAUCGGGAGAAUAAGCCCCGGCUAACUCCGUG